UGGCUGCAAAAAUGUAUAUG
rnacentral:siRNA from 1 species